UAUCCGUGGAACAAAUAUCUCAAAAAUGAAGACAAAAUAAUUAUUUUCAGAUAAACAAAAGUCUAGAAAUUUUAUCUUCUACAACUCUACACUGUAAAAAUGCUAAAGGGAGUUUUUUAGAUCAGAUGGAAAUUUAAAUCUGUAGGAAGGAAUAAAAAGGAGUAGAAAUGAUAUUUUAUCCCAGAGGCCAGACAUCCUGAAGUCUUCCCUUUCACACUCCUCUACGCACAGCACUGGAGUUACCCCACUCUCUCCAGCAGGUGAAAUGCCAAAACACACAAGGAGGCAAGAACUUUGCAGAAAGCUGUGUGAGAAGGGAAAUGGAACACAAGCAACUGACUUGUGAAACAGAAACCUUGACAAGGCAUGGGCACAGCUGAGAAAGAAGACGGAUAAGCCCCAGAGAGAGAUGCCCUUGAUCUGAUGGUUCCUGACAAGUGUUUAUUAGUAAUCUCUAACAUAGGG